rnacentral:ncRNA from 1 species
CGGCAGGGGCGCUUCGGCUGAGAUGAACCCUUCGAACCUGAUCCGGGUAACACCGGCGUAGGGAGCCAGGAU